CAAAGGCUUGGUCCUGACUUUACUGUCGGCUCUAGCUAGACUUACACAUGCAAGUAUCCGCACCCCUGUGAGAAUGCCCUCCAGUCUCCCGCCCGGAGACAAGGAGCCGGUAUCAGGCACGGUUAACACCAGCCCAUGACACCUUGCUUAGCCACACCCUCAAGGGACACCAGCAGUGAUAAAUAUUAAGCUAUAAGUGAAAACUUGACUUAGUUAAAGCUUAGAGGGCCGGUAAAACUCGUGCCAGCCACCGCGGUUAUACGAGAGGCCCAAGUUGACAGACUACGGCGUAAAGAGUGGUUAGGGAAACUUUUAGACUAAAGCCGAACGUCCUCAAAGCUGUUUAACGCUUCCGAGUUAAGAAGAUCCAUUACGAAAGUAGCUUUACCCAACCUGACCCCACGAAAGCUGUGAAACAAACUGGGAUUAGAUACCCCACUAUGCUCAGCCCUAAAAUUUGAUAGGCCAACUACGCCCCCUAUCCGCCCGGGUAUUACGAGCAUCAGCUUAAAACCCAAAGGACUUGGCGGUGCUUCACAUCCGUCUAGAGGAGCCUGUUCUAGAACCGAUAACCCCCGUUAAACCUCACCCUCCCUUGUUAAUUCCGCCUAUAUACCGCCGUCGUCAGCCUACCCUGUGAAGGACUAGAAGUGAGCAAGAUUGGUAAGACCCAAAACGUCAGGUCGAGGUGUAGUGUAUGAGAGGGGAAGAAAUGGGCUACAUUUCCUAAAUCAGGAAAUACGAAUAAUGAACUGAAAUAAGCAUUAGAAGGUGGAUUUAGCAGUAAGCAGUAAAACAGAGUGUUCUGCUGAAAUCUGGCAAUAAAGCACGCACAUAUCGCCCGUCACUCUCCCCGAGCUAACACAAAAGCAAAUACCUAAAAAACUACAUCUGCAAAGGGGAGGCAAGUCGUAACAUGGUAAGCGUACCGGAAGGUGCGCUUGGAACAAU
rnacentral:ncRNA from 1 species